rnacentral:rRNA from 1 species
UCGCGAAUCAGAAUGUCGCGGUGAAUGCGUUCCCGGGUCUUGUACACACCGCCCGUCACACCAUGGGAGUUGGCAAUACCCGAAGCCUGUGAGCGAACCAUUAGGACGCAGCAGUCGAAGGUAGGGUCAGUAACUGGGGUGAAGUCGUAACAAGGUAGCCGUAUCGGAAGGUGCGGCUGGAUCACCUCCUUU